AGGUCUCAGGGCGUCGAGGGCCGGGGGGGGGGGGGGGGGAAGGGCAGCCAGCGCCCACGGAGCCCCGCCUCCGCACGGGGGGGGGGNNNNNNNNNNNNNNNNNNNNNNNNACGCGAGCCCCCGCGUGCGCCCCGCCCUGGCGCCGACCGAUGCUGCGCGCCCUUCAGCCCAAGGCAGCUCCCGGCCCACGCGGUCCCCGCCCCGGGUCGCAGUCCUGACUCGGCCACGCGCCGCACCGGGCCCGCCCUCAGCGCCCCCGCGCCACACGGCAGCCUCCGGCUGAACAGGGUCAUUGACUCUUCCGGGGAGCCCAGAGAGCACAGCUGCAAGUCCCACUCUCCGGACUGGCCCGAAGGUCCUGGGAACGGGAUCCAGGCGGGGAUGGGGGAGACCCCAUAGUCCCCGCCGGCUGAGCCGCGGUGCCUCGGGGCAGGACCCGCAGAGCCCCGGGCAGGUGUUGAGGGGGGAGAGGAGGACCGUUUACAAUCUGAGGGAGGCCCGACUGGAGUUGCCCACUUGGGUCCAUCCUGACACUCCGCUGCUGCGUGUCCCGCGUGGCUAGGCCUCAGGGGCCUGGGGGCUUGCACUCUCCAUCCUCGCGGUGCCUUCAGGGCCGCAGUUGGAUAGGGCAGACCAGGGCCGAGUUGUAGCAGCUUGUUUAGACGGAGAAGCCAGAAAGCUGUACGAGGACGAAGGGAGCAGCAGAGCUACCCCAGCAGGAGUUUUAAAGUAAACAGUAUUCAAGCACAAACACAUACCGCAUAUCACUCUCAAGUGAUGAGUAUGCAGGCAGAUGAAUUUUCCCGAAGAAAGUAGCAAUGUAAUUUGUGGGUAAUCUUGUUAUCACUAGGUUCUAAACCAGAAAGGUAGGGAAAUUUAAAGCACUGUGAGGGUUAGGAGAAGGGUAAAUAUAUUAAUAUCUUCAUGAAUGAUGGACUUAAAUGUCCCCGUUUCCAUGUCUCAGGUGACCACUGAAAGAGAAGAAGAGUGAGAUUCCCACACAAGUGGAGGAAAACAAAUGAAACGGGGGAGGGCUUCAAGAGAAAUAUGAAGAAAGAAAAACCAGAAAGUAUAAAAUAAACUGAUUUUACAAAUACUGCUACCA
rnacentral:lncRNA from 12 species